CUGACACAGGUGCUGCAUGGCGUGUCGUCAGCUCGUGUCGUGAGAUGUUGGGUUAAGUCCCGUAACGAGCGCAACCCUUGUCCUUAGUUACCAGCACGUUAUGGUGGGCACUCUAAGGAGACUGCCGGUGACAAACCGGAGGAAGGUGGGGAUGACGUCAAGUCAUCAUGGCCCUUACGGCCUGGGCUACACACGUGCUACAAUGGUCGGUACAAAGGGUUGCCAAGCCGCGAGGUGGAGCUAAUCCCAUAAAACCGAUCGUAGUCCGGAUCGCAGUCUGCAACUCGAUUGCGUGAAGUCGGAAUCGCUAGUAAUCGUGAAUCAGAAUGUCACGGUGAAUACGUUCCCGGGCCUU
rnacentral:rRNA from 1 species